CCUACGGGCGGCAGCAGUGAGGAAUAUUGGUCAAUGGACGAGAGUCUGAACCAGCCAAGUAGCGUGAGGGAUGACUGCCCUAUGGAUUGUAAACUUCUUUUAUAUGGGAAUAAAACGUUCCACGUGUGGGAUUUUGUAUGUACCAGAUGAAUAAGGAUCGGCUAACUCCGUGCCAGCAGCCGCGGUAAUACGGAGGAUCCGAGCGUUAUCCGGAUUUAUUGGGUUUAAAGGGAGCGUAGGUGGUUUGUUAAGUCAGUUGUGAAAGGUUGGGGCUCAACCGUAACAUUGCAGUUGAAACUGGCAGUCUUGAGUACAGGAGAGGUAGGCGGAAUUCGUGGUGUAGCGGUGAAAUGCGUAGAUAUCGCGAAGAACUCCGAUUGCGAAGGCAGUUCACUGGACUGAAACUGACGCUGAGGCUCGAAAGUGUGGGUAUCGAACAGGAUUAGAUACCCUAGUAGUC
rnacentral:rRNA from 1 species